ACUCCGGGGAUAACAGGCUGAUACCGCCCAAGAGUUCAUAUCGACGGCGGUGUUUGGCACCUCGAUGUCGGCUCAUCACAUCCUGGGGCUGAAGUAGGUCCCAAGGGUAUGGCUGUUCGCCAUUUAAAGUGGUACGCGAGCUGGGUUUAGAACGUCGUGAGACAGUUCGGUCCCUAUCUGCCGUGGGCGCUGGAGAACUGAGGGGGGCUGCUCCUAGUACGAGAGGACCGGAGUGGACGCAUCACUGGUGUUCGGGUUGUCAUGCCAAUGGCACUGCCCGGUAGCUAAAUGCGGAAGAGAUAAGUGCUGAAAGC
rnacentral:rRNA from 1 species